UCCUGACUGACCGAUAGUGAACCAGUACCGUGAGGGAAAGGCGAAAAGAACCCCGGCGAGGGGAGUGAAAAAGAACCUGAAACCGUGUACGUACAAGCAGUGGGAGCACGCUUAGGCGUGUGACUGCGUACCUUUUGUAUAAUGGGUCAGCGACUUAUAUUCUGUAGCAAGGUUAACCGAAUAGGGGAGCCGAAGGGAAACCGAGUCUUAACUGGGCGUUAAGUUGCAGGGUAUAGACCCGAAACCCGGUGAUCUAGCCAUGGGCAGGUUGAAGGUUGGGUAACACUAACUGGAGGACCGAACCGACUAAUGUUGAAAAAUUAGCGGAUGACUUGUGGCUGGGGGU
rnacentral:rRNA from 1 species